GCUUUAAAUGCCAACUGUUCGAUCGUGGGAAAAACAUAGAAAAGCCAACACCACAAAAUGCUUAUAAUGGAUCAAAUGUUUAUAACUAUAUAUAAGUAUGCGCAAGAACGAAAAGCCAGAAAGAUCAGGAAUCUAACAACGAUAAAUGAACGACAAGACAUUUCUGUUUGUGAUGGAAUGCGUGGGUACUGCGAGGUUAUUAGCUUGACAUGGAAAACAUAAAGGGUAUUCCACGGAGGCCUCAAAAUCUAUACUUUCAUAACAGAAAUGAUGGUAUAUACGAGUAUGCCAACAAAUGGGUACUGAAAGCAAGACGUAUUACGAUGUCGUCGGUAUAUAUAUACAUUUAUAUGUAUAUUAGUACCAGGAAUUACUACCAAGUUAAGAUGAAAUAACUUGUUCGAAACGUUUACAUAUUGUAGUGAUGUGUGAGAAAGGUAUAAACCUUUACAGGGAUACACUUAAUAACAGAAUGGGGAAAAAAACGAUUAUACAUGUUUUUGUUUGACGCAAGAAUGUAAGUAAAAAUUUAUGUAAAUUAUGUCAGACCUAAACUAAAUAUUUAUGUCGGGGAUCAAAAAGGAUAACUAAGUAUAAAAACAAUUGAUGCACAAUUGACCCAAAGGUGUCAGCGGAACAGGCGCGCAUUGAACAUCUUAAACCGAAAGUAUAUAUAAAGUAGGCUAUAUAGUGCGUGCACAGCUGGGUAUUAUAUACGCAGAGCGAAUCAAAUUUUCGGACGAUUGGGUAAGUAUUAAGUUUUUCGUUUAAUUUUGUAAACUAAAACUAAACAAUUCAGUAUACAGUUAUAGCUUUUGACAAAUUGGGCAUAUAUAUACAUUCAUAUGUCCUUAAAAACAGAUAUAUUUUAGUCUACAAUGCGAAAUAUACUGAAAGAUAUAAUUUACAUUUCUCAUACAACCGUGUGUUGACAUAUAGGCUGGCAUACGGUAGUUUUCAAAUCCCUAGUUUCGUUAAAAGGGGGGAUUUCCACUGCACAACGUAAUUAUUGUUCAAAAAUAUAAGUUGGAAUAAAAAAAAUUGUUCCAAGGUUUCAAAUACAUUUUGUUACCGUUCGUUGAGCAUUGUAUAGAAUUAAUACCAAACACAAAAGUACAAAGUACAGUGAAAAUUUCCUAAAGAAUUGUUCAAUUUAUCUGAUUAAUAGAACACCUCUAUCAAUUACAUUAUUUAAACAGUUAUUCAUACAACUUACAAGCAUGAUCAGUGAUUAAUCAUAUGAUAUUUUCCAACAUCUAUAAGCAAGGCUCUCAUUGUUUUACUCAAAGAUAACUGCAUUUCAUUCAUCACGUUUAGGGGUAUAUUAUGACCUAUAGUUAUUAACUACAUUGGCUACCAUGUACUAAGUAACAAGAUCAAAAUAUUCUGUGAUGGUAACUGGAUAACUGAUACCACUAAUCCCCCAACUGAAAGUGAAAUUUGCCCCAUCUGUUGGAAGAGAAAAUUUCGACCAAAAGUAUAAAAAGAUUUCAAAGUUUUCUUCGCUCAGCCUGGGAGAGUGCUGGUUAAAUCAGCCAAAAUUCCUGAUUAGAACUGUUCAUGUUUGACGUACAGAUUUGAAAUGAUUUUAUUUUUGCGUUCCCAGAUCACAAAGACAUGGAUAAAGGAGGUAAAAGCCCU
rnacentral:lncRNA from 1 species